AUGGGAUCUAGUAACAAUGUUACAGAAUUUGUCCUCCUGGCCCUCACUCAGGCUCCUGAUGUGCAAAAAGUAUUAUUUGUAAUGUUUUUAUUCACAUACAUUGUGACUAUGGUGGGCAACCUGCUCACUGUGGUGACCAUUUUUGCCCUCCCUCUUUGGGCUCCCUAGUGUAACUCUUCCUUGCCUGCCUGUCAUUGAUGGAUGCCGUAUAUUCCACUUCAUUUUCUCCUAAACUGAUGAUAGACUUACUCUGCGAUAAAAAAGACUGUUUCCUUCCCGGCUUGCAUGGGCCAGCUAUUUGCGGACCACCUAUUUGGUGGUGUUGAGGUCUUUCUUUUCGUGGGGAUGGCCUAUGAUCACUAUGUGGCCAUCUCUAAGCCACUGCACUAUUUGAUCAUCGUGAAUCGACUGGUUUGCAUCCUUCUGUUGGUGGUGGCCGUGACUGGAGGAUUUUGAAUUCUAUGUUUCUUUUUUUUUAAUUUAUUU
rnacentral:lncRNA from 1 species